rnacentral:rRNA from 1 species
AUUGAACGCUGGCGGCAUGCUUUACACAUGCAAGUCGAACGGCAGCACGAGUGCUUGCACUUGGUGGCGAGUGGCGGACGGGUGAGUAAUACAUCGGAACGUAUCCUUAAGUGGGGGAUAACGCAUCGAAAGAUGUGCUAAUACCGCAUAUUCUCUGUGGAGGAAAGUAGGGGAUCGAAAGACCUUAUGCUUAUGGAGCGGCCGAUGCCUGAUUAGCUUGUUGGUGGGGUAAUGGCCUACCAAGGCGACGAUCAGUAGUUGGUCUGAGAGGACGACCAGCCACACUGGGACUGAGACACGGCCCAGACUCCUACGGGAGGCAGCAGUGGGGAAUUUUGGACAAUGGGCGAAAGCCUGAUCCAGCAAUGCCGCGUGAGUGAAGAAGGCCUCGGUUGUAAGCUCUUUAGUUAAGUAAGAAAGGUUAGUAGUACUAAUAAUACACAAUUAAUAG